rnacentral:tRNA from 1 species
UCUAAAAUGGCAGACCAUUGCAUGGGACUUAAGCUCCCAAUAGGAAGAUACUCUUCUUUUAGAA